rnacentral:tRNA from 1 species
UGCCGGGUGGUGUAACGGUAGCACAGGGGACUUUGAAUCCCUUAGUCAAGGUUCGAAUCCUUGCCCGGCAACCA